UGAAGGAAGACUGCCCUAUGGGUUGUAAACUUCUUUUAUAAGGGAAUAAAGAGCGCCACGUGUGGUGUGUUGUAUGUACCUUAUGAAUAAGCAUCGGCUAAUUCCGUGCC
rnacentral:rRNA from 1 species